rnacentral:rRNA from 1 species
UCGGUUUCUCCCUUCUGACGAACCAUGAUGUCAUUUAUUUGGUGUUGUGGGGAAUCAGGACUGUUACUUUGAAAAAAUUAGAGUGUUUAAAGCAGGCUCACGCUUGAAUACAUUAGCAUGGAAUAAUGAAAUAGGACGUUUGAUUCUAUUUUGUUGGUUUCUAGGAUCGACGUAAUGAUUAAUAGGGAUAGUUGGGGGCAUUAGUAUUCAAUUGUCAGAGGUGAAAUUCUUGGAUUUAUUGAAGACUAACUACUGCGAAAGCAUUUGCCAAGGAUGUUUUCAUUAAUCAUGAACGAAAGUUAGGGGAUCGAAGACGAUCAGAUACCGUCGCAGUCUUAACCAUAAACUAUGCCGACUAGGGAUCGGAUGAUGUUAAUUUUUUAAUGACUCAUUCGGCGCCUUACG